rnacentral:lncRNA from 1 species
UAAUUUCCCUAAAAAUGUAAUUAAAAUGUGCAUGAAUUUUUUGGGCUGCGCAAGGGCUUGGUUACAAUACAGGCAUGCAAUGUUGCAACCAACCACAAAGGGUAUGUUGUGACACAAGGGUCGUGUCUUGACAUCGAGGGUAGUUUUUCUCCAAAACUUGUUUUUAGCUUCUAUCUUCGACGUUGAGACAUCAGUAUAUUGAUGUCGCGACAUAGGCAUCAAUUUUGGCCCGGAUAAGUAUAUUUAGCUCUCGUCUUGACCUACAAGACCAUGUAACCUUAUUUAGAUAUAUGGAAUCUAGUAAAAACUACUAAAAAGCAUAAAUUAUUGCUUUAAGUAUGAAAACCUAAAUAUAUACUAAGAUGCUUUGAUUUAACAAUCAAACAAGCUAAAGUUAUAUGUAAAAAAGGUAUAAAUAAUAGUGUAAUUCAUGGCAGAUCAAAUACCUCUAGAGAAACCAAUUGCUUCCACCCAGUGAGAACACUGAAUGCCAAGACUAGUGAUAAUUGAGUCAACUUUGCCACUACUAACUCUUGUUUCUAACAGGCCAACAAUAUCCAGUUCAUAUUUCCGAUUAUACUCACGAAAAAUUCACGGAAACUUUCUACUAGCACACCUUUGACAAUUCCAAUAAAAAAUAGAUAAACUCAUAAAAAUAAAAAUAAGAGAAAGGAGGAGAGCUUACCGUAAAUCCUGACUAACAACUACCUUCAUGACAUUUCCCAUCGCAAUUCAAACUCCCCUUCUCAACCUCACUAUUAAUUUGUGAACUGAUAAGUUUGGCCAUGGAAUUCAUACUGUUUGACAACAGAACCCUCGAACUACCACAAUUCUUAAAACACUCCCACGUUCUCAAAUUAUCUUACUGGUAGCACUACCACUUCAAACAGUACCACCCUUAACCCUUGACCCCCUAUAUUUCGAAACCAGGAUCCCUUUACCUCUCCCAAUCAAAUCAACAACUCUAUUAGGCUUGCCAUGCUAAGGUACCUCAUUCUCCUUGAAGGUAACAGCUGAGUGUCUCAUAAGAUCAAUGACCUCAUUAUUAAGUUCCACGACCGACUCUACCAGACCAUCAAAAGUUGGGUUAAAUAGGCAGUAAUACCUUAAAGGGUCGGUCCUUCCUAAGUAGCUGACACCUCCGAAUGGGAAACAAGCUCCGUAUCAUCCCCCUGCAACACCAUAAAAUUCCCCAAGAUAAUUGAUAACUCCAAACCCUCGCCCCUUGGAGCUGGUUGGUCAAGCCCAAUAGAAACGGAGUUUUUAAAAUUCCCAGAAGCCUCAAUCCCCAAAUUUGGGUAAUCAAGCGUUGGUCCAUUUUGUUUGCCAAUGUCUCUCAAACCAGGCCCAAUAUCCACCAAACAAUCAACCCCAUUCCAAG